rnacentral:rRNA from 1 species
ACUCCUACGGGAGGCAGCAGUGGGGAAUAUUGCACAAUGGGGGAAACCCUGAUGCAGCCAUGCCGCGUGUGUGAAGAAGGCCUUCGGGUUGUAAAGCACUUUCAGUAGGGAGGAAGGUAGUGUAGUUAACACCUGCAUUAUUUGUACGUUACCUACAGAAGAAGCACCGGCUAACUCCGUGCCAGCAGCCGCGGUAAGUACGGAGGGUGCGAGCGUUAAUCGGAAUUACUGGGCGUAAAGCGCAUGCAGGCGGCCUGUUAAGUCAGAUGUGAAAGCCCGGGGCGUUAACCUCGGAAUUGCAUUUGAAACUGGCAGGCUAGAGUCUUGUAGAGGGGGUUAGAAUUUCAGGUGUAGCGGUGAAAUGCGUAGAGAUCUGAAGG